UGUAUUGAUAAAGAAAAAGUACUACUACUACAAGAUACUAUUAAUUUGAGCACAAACACAUAAAAUUCUAGUAGCAUCUUGGAGAAAGUUUAUAAGCUAGCAGUAAUAAAUAGUAGACUGCUGAAGGUUAUCUUCUCAAGACAGAAAAGUGACAGAUUGGAAUAGAAAACCUUUCCUGGCAACCUUCUGAUGUUCUUGCCCAAGAACCAAACUUUAGAUAGCCACAUCAAUCAAAAAAAAUGUUGCUCCACCUCGGACUGCUUGCAACAGACACAAAGGAAUUAAUUCCUUCACAUGAAGAAGUUUUUUAGCCUUCACU